AGUUCCCUUAGCUCAGUUGGUAGAGCGCACGACUUUUAAUCGUGUGGCCAGCGGUUCGAGCCCGCUAGGGAAUA
rnacentral:tRNA from 1 species